rnacentral:rRNA from 1 species
AGCUCCGAAUUUUUGACGAGCGCAUCUAUUAGAUUAAAACCAAUCGGGUUUCGGCCCGUUUGUUGGUGACUCUGAAUAACUAUGGCUGAUCGCAUGGUCUAGAACCGGCGACGUGUCUAUCAAGUGUCUGCCUUAUCAACUGUCGAUGGUAGUUUAUGUGCCUACCAUGGUUGUAACGGGUAACGGAGAAUAAGGGUUCGACUCCGGAGAGGGAGCCUGAGAAACGGCUACCACAUCCAAGGAAGGCAGCAGGCGCGCAAAUUACCCACUCUCGGCAUGAGGAGGUAGUGACGAAAAAUAACGAGACCGUUCUCUAUGAGGCCGGUUAUCGGAAUGGGUACAAUUUAAACCCGUUAACGAGGAUCUAUGAGAGGGCAAGUCUGGUGCCAGCAGCCGCGGUAAUUCCAGCUCUCAAAGUGUAUAUCGUCAUUGCUGCGGUUAAAAAGCUCGUAGUUGGAUCUGCGCCUCAGGACCUGGUCCGCCCACUGGGUGAGAACUGGGCUCCUGGGCUAGUUCUGCUGGUUUUCCCUGCGUUGCCUUCAUCGGUAGCGUAGGGUGGCUAGCGAGUUUACUUUGAAAAAAUUAGAGUGCUUCACGCGGGCUUAUGUCUGAAUACUCGUGCAUGGAAUAAUAGAAUAGGAUCUCGGCUCUAUUUUGUUGGUUUUCUGAUCUGAGAUAAUGGUUAAGAGGGACGGACGGGGGCAUUCGUAUCGCUGCGUGAGAGGUGAAAUUCUUGGACCGUAGCGAGACGUCCGACUGCGAAAGCAUUUGCCAAGAAUGUCUUCAUUAAUCAAGAACGAAAGUCA